rnacentral:rRNA from 1 species
GAUGAACGCUAGCGGGAGGCCUAAUACAUGCAAGUCGAGCGGUAGAGUGACUUCGGUUGCUUGAGCGCGGCGCACGGGUGAGUAACGCGUACAUGACCUACCUUUAAGACUGGGAUAGCCCUGGGAAACUGGGAUUAAUACCGGAUGUGAUAAUACGUAUAGAGAUGUAUUAUUAAAGUUGAGGCGCUUAGAGAUGGAUGUGCGUCUGAUUAGCUAGUUGGUAGGGUAACGGCCUACCAAGGCGACGAUCAGUAGGGGGCUGAGAGCGUGGCCCCCCANACGGGUACUGAGACACGGACCCGACUCCUACGGGAGGCAGCAGUAAGG